UCCGCUGAACACUCCCACUCACAGCCAUCAACACCUGAGCUGCGUUUGGACUCCGCACCCCUUCCAAACACUUCCUGACAAACACGGCCGUCCGCUCUGAACGGACACACCUGUCACCACGGAAACACAGAGCCAUCACCAAGGAUACAAGCCCUGUCUUCCUGCGCCAGGACUCUUUGAGUGGCGGCCCGCUUGUCCCCAGGGGCCCUAAAGCAGCUGAUGAGAGCGCGGAGGACAAAGGAGGGCGUAGGAAAGACGAGAGAAUGAACUGUCUGUGCGAAAGGGAAACAAAUGGAGUUCUUUUUUUACAUUUUCUGUCUCAGCUCUGCUCCAUAUUGAGGAAGCUGGGAAUCUUUGUCAAAGGACUGUAAUAUAAUUUGAUGAGUCCGUGAAACUCACUUCUGACCCACGACAGUCACACUGAGUACCGCCUGAGGACCAGAUGGUCACAGACAGCCAAUAUUGGUUUUCAGCCUUGUCCCUUGUGUACAGAGAUUUCUCCAGAUUCCCUCAAUCUUUUAAUUACACAAUGCACCAUAGAUGAUGAAAUUCCCAAAUUCUUUGCAAUAUGUUGCCCAAACAGUCUUUCACAGAGAGGGGUAAACCACUCCCUAUCUUUACUUCUAAAAGACUCAGCCACUCUGGGAUGUUCUUUUAGCACUCAGUCAUGUUACUGACUAACUUGAUCCACUGCGAGACAUUUCCCACUUUGUUUUUAAGCACGAUGUGACUUUUCCAACUUUGUUUUUGCAAAGAAUUGCUGUCAACAAGU